CUCCAGUUGGAUGCAUGUCCUUCUGGGAAAGAUUCAUCGGUAUGGGAUGGGGUCGCGUCCUAUCAGCUUGAUGGCGGGGUAACGGCCCACCAUGGCUUCGACGGGUAGCCGGCCUGAGAGGGCGACCGGCCACAUUGGGACUGAGGUACGGCCCAGACUCCUACGGGAGGCAGCAGUGGGGAAUAUUGCACAAUGGGCGCAAGCCUGAUGCAGCGACGCCGCGUGCGGGAUGACGGCCUUCGGGUUGUAAACCGCUUUUGACUGGGAGCAAGCCCUUCGGGGUGAGUGUACCUUUCGAAUAAGCACCGGCUAACUACGUGCCAGCAGCCGCGGUAAUACGUAGGGUGCAAGCGUUAUCCGGAAUUAUUGGGCGUAAAGGGCUCGUAGGCGGUUCGUCGCGUCCGGUGUGAAAGUCCAUCGCUUAACGGUGGAUCCGCGCCGGGUACGGGCGGG
rnacentral:rRNA from 1 species